rnacentral:rRNA from 1 species
AUGGUCAGCUGCGACGACUGCAGCGUCUGGGUGCACACGCGGUGCGCGCGCUACGUCCGGGGCGUGCACACCUCCUUCUCCUGCCACAACUGCCGGCACAAGCGCGCCCCCUCCUCCGCCGACGAGACCGAGGUCGCCGAGCUCCUCGCCGAGCUGCCCACCCACCGCCCGCCCCCGCUCUACCGCAGGUGGGCCGAGGUCCCGCUCCCCGCCCGCGUCCACGUGCACGGCCUCCCCGGCGGCGGGGCCGACGCCUCCCUCUUCCGCGGACCCCCCUCCUCCACCGCCUUCUCCGCCGCCCUCUGGCGCUGCGCCGGCUACGUCCCCAAGAAAUUCGGCUUCCGCUACUGCGAGUUCCCCUCCUGGGCCGAGGACAAGGACAAGAGGGCCGAGGACAAGGACAAGGACGGCGCCGACGCUCUUUUCGCCAUGGCCAGGGAGAAGCGGGAGGAGACGGCGCCAGCUCCAGCGGCCAGAUUAUCCCUCCCGAUUGGGAAUAAGGGAAACAAGAAUGCUCAAACCCUAAGCAAGAAGGCUGAAGGCGCAAAAGAAGUUCCUCCUAGGACAGAUGCUAAGACAAAAGGAGCAUCCAAGAUCGCCGCAGAGGCUGAUACACAGGAUAAUGGGUUUGAGUCGAAAGGGGAUCUUAACAUGCCUGAUAUCAGGCACAAGGAUCAGUUUGCCGAUAUAACCAUGGCCAAUUCUGAUUUUAAAGUAGUUGUUGAAGCUAAUAAGAAGAUGAAGGAAUCCUUGGAACUGAGUGGGGAGAAGAGGAGUUCUGAGGGAGCUCCAAGGAUGCUGAAAAAGGAAGAACCUAAGGAGUCUAUUAAACUGGAGAUCUCCUCUGGAGGUAGAGCUACAUCAGCUGUGGCAGAACAAGAAGCACACUCACGGUUUGUCAAGGCAGAGGUUAGCAUAUGUAAGAAACAAAUUGAAGGAAGCCAUAAUGUGGGCUUACAAUCCGGCAUAGUGAAUGCAGAAAUGGAUGGAGGUACGCGUAUCCAUGCUGGUUCCAUGAAAGUGCACGUGGGUCUUCAGAAACAACCAAAUCAAGCUUCUUCAAAUCUGCAGGAUCGUGAGAGAACAAAGGCUACCCAGCUCAUUAAUGAUGAGCAUAGGAGCGAUAAUCAAAGUCAAGGGAUUGGUGCAGGUUCUUUGACCACUCAAAGAAGUUCAGCCAAGUCUAUCUCUGAUUCAGGCUCUGACCUUCUAAAUUCCGUGACAAAAAGUCAGAUGCACACAAUACCUGAGCAAAACUCAGCUUUAGGUGCUCAGAAAGCUUGCACAACCUCUUCUGGUCCUACACAUUCCCAUGUUGAGAUAUCACACUCUUUAGUUUCAGCAGAACCAUCAUCAGGAGGGAAGACUGGCCGUUUAAUGAAAAAGGAACAGACGAGGUUGGUUACUCCUGCUGAUAGCAAACAUGAUUCUGUGAAGCAUUCUGCUGAGAGUUCCAAAGAAUUUAGUAGGUCCUCUGAGAAAGUUCAACUGAAAGGCUCCCUUUCUUCUGCACCAAAGUCAUCUCAAACAAGCAAAUCAAAUGUGCCUUCAGCCAAACUUAGAGUACCGGCCUCAAAGGAGCAGUCACAAAAGACACCUAUGACAGCUGGCACCACAGCAAGAUCAUUCCAUGGAGAAGUGCCACCAUUGCAUUCUCGGAACAAGGCAAUGCCUUCCAAUUUAUCCCAGAAAAAAGACAAGACCCAUCACCGCUUUGUUCAUGUCACACAAGAGGGCUCUACUAAUUCAGCAUCAACUGAGUUGCGAGCCUCUGAUGCGACAGCUUCAUUGAGUGAUGAACAGCUGGCGUUGUUAUUACAUCAACAAUUAAAUAGCUCCCCAAGAGUACCAAGGGUGACACGUGGCCAACAAACAGGUAGCCAGAUGCUACAUCAAACUGGAGCGUCUGUUUUUUCCAAGCGGUCUUCAGCACAUGGAGGAAGGGAUCAAACACCGAAGCGAAACAAAGAUGACGUCGCAUUGAGAGAUAAUGGUGACAACAAGAGGUCAGGAAAGGUGUCUCUUGUUGAACGAAGGCAUAAAGAUUAUAGCACCGAACGUACUCCUUCUGUGAAGGACUCAUGCAGAUUAGCUGACAAUGCAGAAUUGGAAGAGCAAAAUCAUGGUAUGUGUUCAAACGAAGCUACCACUGGGUUAGAAAAGGACGAUCGGAUGGAUAGCGGUCUUCCGCGCAGUUUACCUGGAUUCAUUGAUGAAAUCAUCAGUAGGAACAGAAAUAUAACAUAUGACGAACUGUGUGAUGCUAUCGGUGAGCAUUGGAGGGAUUUAGUUAAACCCAAAGGAGAAGAUUAUUCAUAUUCCAGCUUUUUGCAUGCUGUCGAUGAUUGUCUCAGGACAAAGAGCGAGUGGGCUCACCUUGUUUACCAGGCUCCAAAGAUGAAUCCGAAUAAACGACGUAAGGUGGAAAGCGACCCUUCAUCGGCCGAUGUAAUGGAAACAGAGAAGACAAGAAACCAGGCUGAAAGAUAUCCGGGAGAAGAGGGUAGUUCCGAGUCGCAACAAGGUCUGCCAAGGGGCAAAAGGAAGGGUCGGAAACGCUCCCGUCAUGAAAUGAAAUCCUUGAGUUCCAAGAAGAGGAGGAAGAUAACGAACAUGGAUUCAUCCUCGGAGGAUGCUGCUCCCCCCUUGUCUAAUUCCAGCAGCAACCCCAUGGUUGAUGAGAGCCAAGAGGAUGAUUCUUCUGGCGGUGAUAGGCAACCUAACUUUGCAGGUUAA